CUGGUUGGUGUUGUGUAAGACUUGGCUGGCUGUAGCAGAAUAACACUCUUAUUCUCUCAGUGCUUUGAACUCUGGUACCCUACAGCUCCGACCACCCCUCUCUGCAACAGCAAGAACUCACACUAGGUGCCCCUCUCUCGCUCUCUCUCUCUCUCUCUGUCUAUUUCUCUCUCCCCUUUCCUGCUGUGUCGCACUUCUGUUUCUCUUCCCAUAAGUCGUACUUCUCUGCUCCCAUCUCAUUUGUCUUUUACUUUCUCCCACAUCUGCUUGUCUGCUUCAGAUGUGCUGUUGUACCUUUUUGCAUUUGAAGAAAGUUUGUUUUUUCUGUCCUGUUGGACUGAGAACAGGCGUGUACGGCUUCUUCAGCUGCUUGUGAACUUGUUGCCUGACCUGCAUUCAGCAAUCAUGUUUCCCUGUUGGACUUUUGUGAUACAGAACAAAGUGGGAGGCAGGACCACGUGUACUCUACCCCCUCGCAGGAAAGUCAGUUGUUAUAACUUCAAGCAGCGGGCACUUUUAUGGACCUUUGAACCGGUCCGCUGACCACUAUUUUAUUUGUGUUGUAAAAUAUCAUACUUUGACCCUCUUACUUUUUAUUUCAGAGGUACUAACUCAAGUUAAUUGGACUGUUUUGUAAAUCACUGGAUGUCUAAGA